AUUAUAAAUAUCAUGAUUUUAUAAAUGAUAAAUAAAAAAUUUUACGACAUUAAUAUUUCAUUUAUGAAAUCAUAACUUAGUUAAUAGUUAAUGGAGAUAUGUUUCAUUUGUGAAUGAAAUAUUUUUCAUAUUUAUACAUAUAAAAAAAUUAUGAACGAAAUAUUUUUAUGAUAAAUGAAAAAUUAUAUUUUCAUUCAAAGGAGUUCAAGUGCAAUUAUAAUAUUAGUAAUUCAAAUAAAAUUAGGUGUAAUUGUUAUUCUAGGAUUGUAAUUUUAUUUUUCAUUAAUCAUUACUAUGAUCUAUAAAAUUAUUAUUAUUAUUAUUAUUAUUAUUAUUAGGCUGAUGGGAUUAAAAAAACACUCCAGGCACGUGGGCUUUUUUGGGGACGCUGGACAUGUGGGCUUAAAGGGAAAAAAAUGAUGUGGGCCAUGCUUGGCCCAUAUUAAAAAAAGUGGGCACGACCCACAGACCCUAGUGGGCCGAUGCUUGACGGGUUGUGGCGUGCGUUGGCCAUCAUUAGUUUUGGUAUUGAACAGCUUAAGGGUUGGAAAGAUGGAAGAAGAACAAGAAGAUCAAAAAAAAAGUUGCAGAAGAUCAUGAAUUAGUUUCAAGGGUAUAUUGGGCAUUAAGAUGGAUUUAUAAAGUAUAAUAUAAAAUUUGAAAUUUUAACAAGGGUUUAAUAAGUAAAGAGAUUUGAAUUUAAUUUGGUGGAUUCAAAUGUACUCAAGUAAACUUAAUUAUUUGACAUUAGUAUAUUAGUGCAUGGGAUAAUAAAAUUAUCAUGGUAAUUUUUAGAGUAUAAAUAGUGCUAUCCUUUUUUUAAACAGUAACUCUUGAAAUUGUCUGUUUAGUCUAUGGGAACAUGCUUGUUUGUGAAUGCCAAUUGACUUUAUAAAGGGAUAAACGGAGCAUCAUUAAUCUAUCCAAAAGAAGCGCAUAAGAUUUUUUAUAACAUUAUAUAUACGUGCUAAUAAAUGGAUGAGCACUUUGUUGACAAAUGGAUGAACGCAUUGUUAACGAGAUGAUAAGUUGUAAAUGUAGGACUUGAAAAAAAAAUCUUAAAGAAGUGUUGUGGUUAUAAUAGUCAUGAGUUUCUAAGACUUGAAAGGUUAUAGUCCGCGCACAUCUCCACUAGCUUCUCUUGGCCACCAAACUAACUAUUUGGUGCACAUGAAUUUACCAAUUGAUAAACUGUAAAAUCAGUACCGGCUAUGACUGACAUGAUCCGUCAUAAUUAUUUCUCGUCUCCGAAGAAUUAUUAGUAACUGUAAAAGGAAGUCUUCAAUGUGAAGAAUUAUUUGUGAAUAUUUGUUCUUGAGUUUGGUCCAUUGUUGUGUGAGAUGAAAUUAAAAAAAAAGGAAAAUAAGAAAAAAGAAGAACGAUGAGGAAGAAGACAGAGUUGAAAAAAAAAAGAUUUUUCUAUGAUACUGUAAGGAUUUUUACAGCAUUGAUAGUAGGAUUAAUGUGGACCAUCAGAUGUAAGAGUUUUAAUCUGAAUCA
rnacentral:lncRNA from 1 species